rnacentral:rRNA from 1 species
AUUGAACGCUGGCGGCAGGCCUAACACAUGCAAGUCGAACGGUAACAGGAAGCAGCUUGCUGCUUUGCUGACGAGUGGCGGACGGGUGAGUAAUGUCUGGGAAACUGCCCGAUGGAGGGGGAUAACUACUGGAAACGGUAGCUAAUACCGCAUAACGUCGCAAGACCAAAGAGGGGGACCUUAGGGCCUCUUGCCAUCGGAUGUGCCCAGAUGGGAUUAGCUAGUAGGUGGGGUAACGGCUCACCUAGGCGACGAUCCCUAGCUGGUCUGAGAGGAUGACCAGGCAAACUGGAACUGAGGACCGGUCCCGACUCCUAAGGGGGGCAACAGUGGGGAAUAUUUGACAAUUGGCGCCAGCCUUAUGCAACCCUGCCGGGUGUAUGGAGAAGGCCUUCGGGUUGUAAAAUACUUUCCACGGGGAGGAAGGGAGUAAAGGUAAUACCUUUGCUCAUUGACGUUACCCGCAGAAGAAGCACCGGCUAACUCCGUG